GGAUGAACGCUGGCGGCGUGCCUAAUACAUGCAAGUCGAGCGAACGGCCGAGAAGCUUGCUUCUCUGAUGUUAGCGGCGGACGGGUGAGUAACACGUGGAUAACCUACCUAUAAGACUGGGAUAACUUCGGGAAACCGUAGCUAAUACCGGAUAAUAUUUUGAACCGCAUGGUUCAAAAGUGAAAGACGGUCUUGCUGUCACUUAUAGAUGGAUCCGCGCUGCAUUAGCUAGUUGGUAAGGUAACGGCUUACCAAGGCAACGAUGCAUAGCCGACCUGAGAGGGUGAUCGGCCACACUGGAACUGAGACACGGUCCAGACUCCUACGGGAGGCAGCAGUAGGGAAUCUUCCGCAAUGGGCGAAAGCCUGACGGAGCAACGCCGCGUGAGUGAUGAAGGUCUUCGGAUCGUAAAACUCUGUUAUUAGGGAAGAACAUAUGUGUAAGUAACUGUGCACAUCUUGACGGUACCUAAUCAGAAAGCCACGGCUAACUACGUG
rnacentral:rRNA from 1 species